ACUAGUGACGCGAGAAUAUUCGUAAUAAUUCAAUUAAUUAUGCCACGAUUGUGUUGUCAGGUAUGUGCAACGUUUUUUUCAACGUCUGUCGCUGGAAUGUUGCGUCAUUUGGUCGCUGUUCAUGAACACGAUGCCAGAUUGCAUAUUAUCUGCGAAGUGCCGGAAUGUAAUUCAACCUUCGCUAAGUUUAACUCUUACAAAAGUCAUCUUAGAAGAAAGCACGCGAAUGUUGACUUAAACUCAAGUGAUCUAUGUUGCGUUGAAUCAGCGAGUAGCACUCACAACAAUUUUUGUCCUGAUGAGGAUGGCCUUGAACUCUUAAUUGAUGAAUUCAACAGGGAAA